GCAUGAAAUGUGCUCAUUUAUUUAUGUAUAGAGCGAAGAGAUGAGAUAUAUCUGUAGAUGGGGUCUAGUAGUUGGUAUAUGUAGAUACACUUUAGCUCUGAAAUUUGGGUCUCCGGAAGCCACACAGCUCAUAGUCAACUCCAGCUUGCAUUAUCUUAUUGAUAGAGAGGUCAUACAUUAUUUUGGUAAACCUUUAUCCCUUGAAAUUCAUGGCUCCUCAAAGUUCACAGCUUUGUUUAUAUCAUGAAGCAGAUUAAACUAAGGAAUAUGGUGCCUGAUACUUCUGUUGUGCAGAUCAACUACUUUUGAUGAUACUCCUUAAUUUCUGCCGUUUUGUCUUUUGAUUCAUGCAAAAACUUUUUUCUUUGACUUCUCUGUUGUUAUUCUUGACGACAACUCAGUAACUCUCACUGCAUGUGUUCAGAGAAGAUUGAAGAUUGUGGUGUUCUUUAUGGAAAGUUGGGAACUCUUUCUUCAUGCUAAAUAUGAGGUUUGAAGCUGAAACGAUUCAUUUUCUUGAGAGGAUGAACCACAGAUGGUGAUGCUUCCAAAGGUAAAACCAAGUUUCUAGAAUGAAAAUAGUUAUAUCCACUAAUUUUCAUUCUUAUUUUUUUUUUCUUAAUCUUCUUGUCAAAAACAACAAUCCCUUUGUGCAUGACUGACAGUCAAUAUCCAAAAUAAAUGACAAGAACUGCAACUCGAUCUGAGCCGAGGAUCUGUACAGAUCGAACUGGACAUCGUUCGUCUUGAGCCUAGCUUCGGCAGUUCAGCAUAUAUUUUUAGUUUUUACCUUUUAAACCACAUCUUCGAUUCUAUUAAUUAUCUCAGGUGCUGAUACGCAGUGGAAGAGAAUUGAAAGGAAAAGAAAGCUAAUGUUCAAUCAUUGUUAGUGCUUUAUCACCCAAACUUUUGUUUUUCUUUUUUACUUUAUGUCUACGCAGUCAGUCAAUAUAUAGUUUAAUGCAAUAAAUACAGCUUUAUUGUGAAUGAUUCGAUCACCAUUUAUUGAUUCACUACCAUGGUGCGAAUCAUUGGCACGAGGAUAGGAGCAUAAUAUAUAGUGUUUGCAAAAUUAAACUAUUUUCAAUUUCAUAACAAAAGUAUCCUCCUUUCUUCUAAUCACCACCAAGAUUAAUUAUGUGAAGAUUACAAGUUAGAGACGGUAGAGCACUAGAAAUUAAACUCAUCCAAAGAAGAAAGGGCUGUCUGCAUGGAAAUUUCUAUGUGCAAUAUCGGAAACGCGAGACGUACACGAAGUGGAAGCCGGCCGACAGUAGGAAUCAUUGAAAUAAUCACAAUGGGCUGGCUACUCGAUCAACCACGGUAUCUCAAAUUUGUUUUUCCUUUUCGAAAUGAAAGAUUCCCUCUUCAGUCAAUUAUGGGUGGGUCUUCGUUAAUUCAUCAUGAAAUUUAAUACGUGCAUCAUUUGAAGCAAAGAAUAUUUUGCAGGACGCAUUGUUUCCUUCUUCAUGGCCGAAAGGGAGACAUGGAGUGCUAUUCCACGUGCAGACGACAGGUGAAUCGGGUACUGCAUGUGGAGAUGAGGACGAGGUUGCACCAAUUAAGGGAGAAGGGUGGCCUGUUGCAGGAGAUGAGGAGUCCCAGUGCAAUUAAUUGCUUCACUGUUUCACGCGUAGGAGAAGCUCCAGAGAUGUGAAAGCGUCGAAAAUGGCAGAGGCAUACAAAGCGGGAGGGAAUCAGGUCAGCUAGCUGCAUGGCAUCAGCCGUCAGGCUCAUGCUUUACUCUGAUGUUUCUCUUUCAUGCAAGUCGAGAGCAACAUGGUGGGGAAAUGGCCGUGUGUGUAUCAUUCAAUGGGUUGGCAGGAGCAGGAUAGCAGAUGCACGUGUGGGGUGGGGGCGCCGUGAAUAAGACUCGCGUCGAGAUGUCAGAGUCAUCUGGUGGAGGUCGAUCGAAAAUUUUCGACCGAUUUUCAUGGAUCGACCUUAGAAAAUUCGAACCUGUAUGGGUGCGUUUUGCUUUGGCCUGAUGACACUGGCAGUUGAGCAUGUUCUUGAGAAUUUUGUUGACUAAUAUUUUACCCAAGAAAGUUUCCAA